rnacentral:lncRNA from 1 species
UUUGCUUCUUUCUCAUGCCCGACACCCAUUCCCCCCAAAAUAGUUUUCCCCAAUUCUGUAAUUUCUUCUAAACCCUAAAUUUCCCCUAAAAGAAUCAGCAGGCACGGUUAAGAUUCAUUGUCGAGCUAACAUGCAUCUGACUUGAAUCGCUUUUCUGUUUUGGAGGUUACUCGUUUGCUUCAUCGGAGUGUAAAAUUUCAGGUAAGUUGUGCUUUUAUUUGAGAACAAUUUAUUUCUUCUUUGUUUAACCUAUGGGUUUUGGAUGAUGUUGGAUGAAGUGUCGGUCAACCAAGUUGUAGGAUAUUCAUUUUGGGUUGGCAAUUGUGUUUGAAUGCACUCAAUGACAACCACGAAAGCAAAAUCCUCAGCCA